CCUUAUCAAGAGCGGCGGAGGGACAGGCCCUGUGAUGCCCGGCAACCUGUCAUAAAUUUGACAAGGUGCCAAAUCCUGCGGUGAAUCCGGAAGAUGAGG
rnacentral:ncRNA from 1 species